rnacentral:rRNA from 1 species
AAGGAUUACGGCGURUGACUGGGAAAGCCCAGCGCUGAUCUUUCGAUGUUAUGUCGUAAAGAAAUGUAGCGUAUAAGUAUGAUUGUCGGUUUGUUUAACAUGUCCAAAGUUCCUUUGAUAGGGGCCAUAUUCCAGAGAGGGUGCGAGACCUGUGCGGGCAGUUGAACAUAUACCGUAUGAUUAUACUUUGGAGUCGGGUUGCUUGAAAGUGCAGCCUUAAGUGGGUGAUAAACUUCAUCUAAGGCUAAAUACGGACGCGAAUUCGAUAGCAAACAAGUACUGUGAAGGAAAGUUGCAAAGAACUUUGAAGAGAGAGUUCAAGAGAACGUGAAAUCGUUGAAGUGGAACCGGAGAGAGUUGACGUAGUUUGGUGGAUAAGUAUUACAAGAAUCGUAUUCAUUAAUUUGAUAUAUGAUCAAGUACUAUGUAUGCCAUCAAUAACUGUGUUGACAGCAUCGACUACACGUUCCGAACUAUGUUGACAUGUUGCCCAUUUUAUUCACAUAGAAUGGUGUCUUGUGUUACGUUUUGUGAGGUUUGUUGUAUGUUGAUGUUAUAUAAUUAUAUAAUAUAAUUAUGUCAGCAUAAAAGUCAACCACCUCUCUGACCCGUCUUGAAACACGGACCGAGGAGUGUAACUUGUACGCGAGUCAAUGGGUGAAAAACCUUAAGGCGAAAUGAAAGUGAAGGCACGGUUAACCGGCUGACAUGGGAAACGUUUGUUAUUCGCUUAUGUGGUGUAAUAACAUAAUGUCACACCAUGGCCCUGUCUUGUCUGCAUGCAGAUGGGCAGCGGUAGAGCGUACAGGUUGCGACCCGAAAGAUGGUGAACUAUGCCUGAGCAGGACGAAGUCAGAGGAAACUCUGGUGGAAGUCCGUAUCGGUUCUGACGUGCAAAUCGAUCGAUAGACUGGGUAUAGGACGAAAGAU